GAAAUAAAGUGCAUUAAAUGAAAAUGGCAUGUAUUAAUCAACAAGUGUUGACCAAAGAUAGAGGAAAUCAAGAUCAAACAAUAGAAAACAGAAGCAAAAUAAAGACUAGAAGUCAAGAAACAAAUAAAAUAUUUUUGGCAUUUUUAUUAUUUAAAAUAAAACUUGAAUUAAAAUAAUAAAGAAAGGUCAAACUUCAAACUCACUUCAAAUCAAC
rnacentral:lncRNA from 1 species